GUGCUCGCUUUAGCAGUACAUAUACUAAAAUAGGAACAAUACAGAGAUUAGCAAGAUCUCUGCGCAAGGAAGACACCCAAAUUCAUGAAACAUUUUGUAUUUUU
ensembl:snRNA U6 U6 spliceosomal RNA